AGAUCCUUAAAGCGCAUAUCGUAAGAAAAUCAACAGCCUCGUUAUCGCAAGAAAGAAUUUUCACAUCUGAUGACGCUUCUUCACAUAAAAUCUGUAUAUCCGGGAAUGGGCCAAGAUAUGUUGUAAUAUCUUCAAGCAAUGUCUGCAAUUGUGGUUCAUCAUUCAUCCAAAACUUAUCAGAAUGAUCUAUUACAACAACGAAAUAAGUAGUUAAAUGUGAAUUUUAUGAAUAAACUGAAAAUAAAA